GCCUACGGGGGGCAGCAGUAGGGAAUCUUCCACAAUGGGCGAAAGCCUGAUGGAGCAACGCCGCGUGGGUGAAGAAGGUCUUCGGAUCGUAAAGCCCUGUUGUUAGAGAAGAAAGUGCGUGAGAGUAACUGUUCACGUUUCGACGGUAUCUAACCAGAAAGCCACGGCUAACUACGUGCCAGCAGCCGCGGUAAUACGUAGGUGGCAAGCGUUAUCCGGAUUUAUUGGGCGUAAAGGGAACGCAGGCGGUCUUUUAAGUCCGAUGUGAAAGCCUUCGGCUUAACCGGAGGAGUGCAUUGGAAACU
rnacentral:rRNA from 1 species